rnacentral:rRNA from 1 species
UACGGAGGGGGCUAGCGUUGUUCGGAAUUACUGGGCGUAAAGCGCGCGCAGGCGGUCUUCCAAGUCAGUGGUGAAAGCCCGGAGCUCAACUCCGGAACUGCCAUUGAAACUGUUGGACUUGAGUACGAGAGAGGUGAGUGGAAUUCCCAGUGUAGAGGUGAAAUUCGUAGAUAUUGGGAAGAACACCGGUGGCGAAGGCGGCUCACUGGCUCGUAACUGACGCUCAGGCGCGACAGCGUGGGGGAGCAAACAGG